CCUACGGGAGACUGCAGUGAGGAAUAUUGGUCAAUGGACGAGAGUCUGAACCAGCCAAGUAGCGUGAAGGAUGACUGCCCUAUGGGUUGUAAACUUCUUUUAUAUGGGAAUAAAACGUUCCACGUGUGGGAUUUUGUAUGUACCAUAUGAAUAAGGAUCGGCUAACUCCGUGCCAGCAGCCGCGGUAAUACGGAGGAUCCGAGCGUUAUCCGGAUUUAUUGGGUUUAAAGGGAGCGUAGGUGGAUUGUUAAGUCAGUUGUGAAAGUUUGCGGCUCAACCGUAAAAUUGCAGUUGAAACUGGCAGUCUUGAGUACAGUAGAGGUAGGCGGAAUUCGUGGUGUAGCGGUGAAAUGCUUAGAUAUCACGAAGAACUCCGAUUGCGAAGGCAGUUCACUGGACUGCAACUGACACUGAGGCUCGAAAGUGUGGGUAUCAAACAGGAUUAGAUACCCUAGUAGUC
rnacentral:rRNA from 1 species